rnacentral:lncRNA from 1 species
ACUAAGUGUGUGGCACCUGUGCAGUGCACCAGGCAAUGUGUGCAGCACAUGAGCACUAAAGGGAAACUCUGUGCACAGCUGAGUGUACACAUUUUUAUUUAACAAUUCAGUUUGUUACAGUGAGUCUCAAGGAGAAGGGAUUUAUGAAUGUUUAUUCUUAGUGAGGCUUACUGGGUAUCUCUAGUGGAUCUUGGCCUCAUUCAAAGCACAAACUGAAAAUUCCUUCUCAGUUCUUUUCUUUCAAAGAAACAGGUGAAAAAAAAAUAACCAGCUUAAGUGAUCAUUGAAAGAUUCCAAGAUAACCAUAUAAAAUAGUUGUUUCCUUCUGUAUGCAAGGGGUUUCUGAAAGGCCUAACAGUGCUGUAAGUAAGGUUGGCUGAUAUCAAUGGUAAGAUAGUACUGCAUUGUGACUUGAGGGGACAAUUAGGAAAGUGUUCUAGUGUUUGUACCCCCAAAUCACUGCCUUAGUAUAAAUGGCACCCCCAGAACCUACGUACAAGAAACCCAUUCAGAUAGGAGCAUUUGUGCCAUUUAUCUGAAUGAAAUCUGGUGGGUCCCAUAAAUUUUCUUUAUCUGAAUUAGAUUCAGUCAUAGUUUGAAAUGAUUGAAUGUUGACCUAAGAACUUAAGGUGGAAUAAGAAGCUGCUAAGAAAAACACUGAAACCAGGUAGGGUUAAGCGCUGUCUGGGUCUCAGACCCAGGAGCUAUAGUUCAUUAUGAGAAACCCUGACUGAGCCACUUAGAAAGAUGAGCUCUGUCACCAUAGCAACACUAGGACCACUUCUGCAGAUCUUAGUGGUUCCUGCCAAUCAGCUCCGGCCCUGAACCAUCAAAUCCACUUACAAUGAUGCCAGAUGCUCCACACUCAAGGAUAUAUAUAUAAAAAAUGUCCAGAUGUGCCACAGGCAGAGGAGGUGUAAUUUUUUCUUUGAAAAUUCUCUUUUCCUUCUUUAUAUGAUAGAAUAUAUUGCAAAAUCUAACUAUUCUACUUGGUGUAAAAAACAAAAACAAAAACAAAAAACCACCACCACCAACAACAAUUAGCAAACCCCAAUUCCUGUUACUAAUCAACUGCUUAUAUUCCAUAACUCACAAAUAACAAUUUUUUAUACCUAGAGUUUAUAGCUUAUAUUUUUUUUUGUUGCAGUGAAUGUAAACACAAAUGCAUGAGUGUAGAUGUAUAGGGUGUGCAUGGGUAUUUUGAAUGCAUUCUCUAAUGGGUUUUCAGUGCCUUAGUAGCAGGAGUUGUAUACUAUUUAGCCUUGUAUCCUUAUUGCUUACUUACAGACUCAGAGUUCAGAGUUAGAAUUUGGAACAGCAAAGAUGAAUGGAUUAGACAGAACUUCUCCUGAUGUCAGUUCAUGAGGCAGAAGCGUUCAGUGGUCAUAGGAAAAUGGAGACUUGAAGAGAAAGAAGUCCAUGCAGAACUGCGAUCCAGAAGUCUGGAGUCUGAGUUGUCCGUUUCAUUUGUGUAGUUUACAAACAGAAGUGGUAUUCAUAAAGAGCAGCAGAACGCGCCCUCCAAGUGUGUAUUUUUGUGUCUGUUGCUGUGAUUUACUAAUGGAUCGGGCACUCCUAGACAUCACCGUUAGAGUUGGGAGCAGGCAAUUGAAACAGAUCAAACUUUUGAAUGAUUGAUAGAACAACAGCAGGUGGCAAUUUAAAGGACAUGAGGGAUAACUUCUGAUUUAGAGACUAUCUUCAGCAAGUCUGAAUACUGAUACAACACCAUCCAAAGGCAGUGAACAGAGGGGAGCAAACAAAUGAAAUCAUUGAAAGUCCUUUUUGUUUGAGACUCAAAAUAAGCCUCCCAGUUAUGUGACCUACUUACUCACCAGGUUGUAAAUGACCUCCAAAAUCUGCCCUUUAAUACCCAUGCGUCUCCCCUCUAUAGCGUUGCCUUAUUAAAAUUAAAGUAUUUGCAGAUGCUCAAGCACUUUGUAAAGAAAAAGUGGACACUCCCAAAGUCUAAAUACAGUUGUUUCUAAGGGAAAGCCAACUGCUCCGUUAAAAUUCUAGGUGGAUUGACCUAGAUCUAGAAAUGGAAAGGUUUGCUGAGACGUGGGCAGUCGUGCAAAUCUCUGAGAAGUGGGUUAUUUAAACAGAUGGUAUCUGUGUCACAGCGAGCUCCAUAUGCAAGUUGACAGUGAGCAGAACUCUAGGGGAGGCAGGGUGGAGAGGAAGCAUAAUUUCACAGUGGACCUCUGAGAAUUUUAAUUAAAACACAGAGUGGAAAUUUAGAGUGCUUGGAUAUACUUCUUCUGAAUAUUAAUUGAAUAUUAAUAUUGGUUAGACUGUUGCUAAGAUACCAGCCGCCCUGGGAGCCCUGGGAAGUUCAUGGAGGCUGCUCUUGCUAAGUUUUGGGUGUGACUUGGCCAUGAUAUCUCUGUACUCUCCUAUGAGAUCUGGAGGGAGAUCGUAAGGCAGGGCUGCACUUCACUGUGUCCUUGAUGCUGGCCAUGGAGCUAAGGAGUUUCCUUUCUUUAUUGUCUGUGUCACUGCUCUGUAGCUGAGACAUUAUUUUGGCAAGUGUCAAGGGACAGAGGAUGCCCCACCAUGACACAGUAUAUAGAAUAAACUAGAGCAACUUCCUGCUUCUUUCCCCAUCUGUGUUUGACCUUACAUAAUCAUUCUUUCUGAAUUGUAAAGCACACAUGCCAUUUAUCUUUCCAUAGGAGGAAGAUGAAAGUGUUUCAUAAGGAAAGAGUAAGUCUCCCAUUACAUAACCCCAGGGAACCCUGUUGGGAAAUGGGAAAAGUGAGACAUAUACUUAAGUAUUUCAUCUGAGGAGACAAAUUGAUAAGGCUUCACAGUAUAUUAAUGACUAACAUAGGAACUCAUGCCACUUAAAAUUUUCAGCACUCACAAAAAGAAAUUUGUAAAAGCAAAUUUUAACACAGAAGGGGUAGAGCUCCUGAUGUCCCAUCCCUAUCUGAGGAGUAAAUGCCAGCCGAUGGUUGCUUCAGGAGGAAAAGCCACUUUUCUUCGGGGGCAUGGCCACCAGCUUUUGCCCUUGUCCCAGUAGGCAACUAUACCCAUGUGCAUAUGGUUGGCACUAACUGGAUUCAGUGCAUUAUGAAUGAAUAAACAACGAAUGAUUUCUAAGGGAGCAUGUGAUGGGCUAGAGGGAGGGAGGACCCAGUGGCUAAGGGCUCCUUUUCCAGAGGUAUUGAUUCUUAGCACCCACAUUAGGUACUCAUAGCCACCUGGAACUCAAGUUUUAGGGAAUCUAACAUGAUUCUCUGGCCUAUACUGCACAUGCUGGGCAUAAACACAUGCAGGCAUUACAUAUACACAAAUAAAAAUGAAUAAGUGAAACUUUAAAAUCUGAAAACAUGACGUUGGGAGGGAAAUGUUGGGGGUGGUUGGAGGAGGAUCAGAGAGGAAGAGUAGGGGUUACAUAUGAUUAAGAUACAUUGUACACAUGUAUAGAAAUUUCAAAAACAAUAAAUAAAAAGUGUUAUUAGAAAAAGAAUAGGUGAAAGAAAUAAUGGAUAUUUCUCACAAACUGCUGAUUAUAAGAAAUUUUCUGUUAUCAGGGCAACACAUUUAUUGCAUUUUCUUCCUCAUUUCAAUUUUUCUUCAAAGGGGACAAUGCUAAUAGGGCUAUUUGUCUAGUACCACUUGGUCACAGAUAGAAAGAUGGGUAAUCAAGUUGAUGUGUGAUUAUAUGUGGCAUUUAAAUACAAUUACUUAUAUACUUUUCUAAUUAUGUCACUUUGAAAUUUAAGUUUUAAGUUUGUAGCUUAGUGU